rnacentral:rRNA from 1 species
UACGUAGGGGGCGAGCGUUGUCCGGAUUUAUUGGGCGUAAAGAGCGUGUAGGCGGCCAGGUAGGUCCGUUGUGAAAACUCGAGGCUCAACCUCGAGACGGCGGCGGAAACCGGCUGGCUAGAGUCCGGAAGAGGAGAGUGGAAUUCCUGGUGUAGCGGUGAAAUGCGCAGAUAUCAGGAAGAACACCCGUGGCUAAGGCGGCUCUCUAGUACGGUACUGACGCUGAGACGCGAAAGCGUGGGGAGCGAACAGG